rnacentral:rRNA from 1 species
CCUACGGGAGGCAGCAGUGAGGAAUAUUGGUCAAUGGACGGAAGUCUGAACCAGCCAAGUCGCGUGCAGGAAGACGGCUCUAUGAGUUGUAAACUGCUUUUGUACAAGGGUAAACCUGAAUACGUGUAUUCAGCUGAAAGUACUGUACGAAUAAGGAUCGGCUAACUCCGUGCCAGAAGCCGCGGUAAUACGGAGGAUCAAAGCGUUAUCCGGAUUUAUUGGGUUUAAAGGGUGCGUAGGCGGAUUGAUUAGUUAGAGGUGAAAUUUUCGGGCUUAACUCGGGAACGGCCUCUAAUACUGUUGAUCUAGAGAGUAGGUGCGGUAGGCGGAAUGCGUGGUGUAGCGGUGAAAUGCUUAGAGAUCAUGCAGAACACCGAUUGCGAAGGCAGCUUACCAAUCUAUAUCUGACGUUGAGGCACGAAAGCGUGGGGAGCAAACAGGAUUAGAUACCCGGGUAGUC